CGGUCCAGACUCCUACGGGAGGCAGCAGUAGGGAAUCUUCCGCAAUGGGCGAAAGUCUGACGGAGCAACGCCGCGUGAGUGAUGAAGGUUUUCGGAUCGUAAAACUCUGUUAUUAGGGAAGAACAAAUGUGUAAGUAACUGUGCACAUCUUGACGGUACCUAAUCAGAAAGCCACGGCUAA
rnacentral:rRNA from 1 species